CGCUUCACUGUUCACUUCCACUUCCACCCCCUCAUGAGCCCUGACUGACAGCUCCGUGCGGUCCCUCCUGCAGCGUGGGGGCCGAACCGGCGAGGGCGCUUAGCGUCGGCGAGGAGCUCGUGGCUGAGACCAUGCCGCUGCGCCACGUCCGCCGGGUGUACAGGAUCGACGGGCCGCGCCCGCGCCCGUCCGCGUGGUACGAAGUCAAGAAUGAUCUCCUACCCGGCCUCCGUAUGAUCGUCCUGUAGAUACCGUCGAGCUUCUCCAUUAGACUCGUGGACGAUUGUGGCGGUAAGAACAGGAGGCUGCUCAACACGGAGAAGAUAAUUUUCAAGGCUGAAGCAGCAGCCCGGUUUAUGUUCUCGUCACCGUGCAGCCUGAGGGCGUACGUGGUGGUGAAGCCAAAUGUGCCAGAGAGGGAGCUUGCACUUUAUAACAUUGGUACGGUACUAGUGUUUCUCUAUAAUUCAUUCAGGUCCUCCUUGAUAAAUUCUGAGAACAAACUAGUCAAACAUGGUAGAAACUUUAGCAAGUCUAUCAUGAGUUGUGUGAAUCUCUUUGCAUUCUUGUGCAAAACCAUAGGAUGAAUCAGCCCUUUGAGCCGCGUCGAGCAUCAUGCAUUUCCAAACCUGGUUCAUCAAUUCUUGGUGCUUAUUACUAUACACAGUUUUCAGUUUAUCUAGGAAUUGGAAGCUUUGGGAAGAUUAUUUGGAACCCUAAUAGGCUGAUUCAUGACCUUAAAUUUGAAAAGCACCUACUAAUUGGUCCUAUUAAUGGAUAUGGUCAAUACCCCGUAGCUAGGGUACCCUCUCCUACUGCGUCAAGACAGAGACCCACGUAUUUAGCUCUAGCCACGCACUAAGGAGCUGAGCAGCCAGGCCCGGGACUGGACCUGUCUGACAGGAUCGCUGGCCUCGGACCUGCUCCCGACUUAGGAGUAGGUCUAGUGCUACCACGUGUCCCGGAAGGGGAAAUGCUCAGAGACUACACCAACGGGUCUGGACCCCUACGAAUAGGCCUGGGCAAUCGGGUUACCCGGAAAAUUUGGGUCGGGUAUUUCGGGUAAUUAUAAAUUCGGGUUCUGAAAAAUCUUACCCGAAAUGGACCCGAACAAAUCAUUACCCGAAAUUUCGGGUACUCGAAAUUUCGGAUUCGGGUACCGGGUAUUCCCAAUUCUCCCGGUCUCAAGAACCAUACAACACAGAAUACAUAUUAACAUGUUUAUAAUCUAGAAAAAUGCGGCCACAUAAUGGUCUAGUUUAACCAACUUCACACGAAGCACUAUGGCAACAAACACACAUGGGAACUUGCGCCUGCUCUACAACUCUGGUUGGGAGAAGUUGCAGAACAUAGUGUGGCAUGCAAUGGAGUCCGACGCUGGCCAGCCGUUGCCCGUCGGGGCCUCCGCCUUAGGGGUCUAGGCAACUGACAGCGGAGUGCAUAUAGGCCAGGAGCAGCAGCCGAGCAAGAGCAGUCGCGCUCGCGCCAUAGGAGCAGGCGAGCAGUGGUUGAGGACUGGGCGGCGGGCGCUGAGGAGGCUAGGGUCUGUGGCUGAGCGACUCUACGCUCUCCGCCUGUGGGACUGGGCCGCUGAGUCGCUGUACCACUGACUGUUCGCCUGUGGGCUGGGCUAGAGACUGGGCUGCAAAACACAACAUUGCAAAAUUGGGUCGGGUAGUUCGGGUACCGCAUGACAAAACCCGAAAAUCCCGAAAUAAGUUCAGGUUUCUAGAGUUCAUACCCGAAUUUCCCAAACUAACUUCGGGUACCCGGAAUUCUGGGUCCAGGUUUGGGAAAUCUGGGUUCGGGAGUCGGGUAACGGGUUUUUUGUCCAAUCCUACCUACGGAUGGGGCCUGGACUCCAUGGACGGGUCUUGUACCUCCACGUGUACCGUUCGGACCCCCACACAAGUGAUCCGAACCUUUUCGUCUGACAUCUGGAUCCCUGGCCGGUGAGACCCAAGUCUUGAUGCCACAAGCGCCCUUGGUUCCCUUUCUCUGCUCGGGCUGGGGUCCGGUACCGCCACGUGGCUCGUAGGCAUAUGGCAGGAGCCUUCGGUUAGAAGCAAGCUCGUCGCCCGCAUUUAAUGUGUGCAGGCUUUUUGUCAGAUAGCGCAUGCACGACUUACCGCUCUGUGUGUUGCCAAUGCGGGCAAUUGCGUGUCAGCGUCACGUGCAAGCCUUGUACAAUACACCAUGUGAUACCGAGACAGACGGUUGUGUUGUGUCUUUGUGCCGUGCGCGUGUGCGGCGCCAUCAUGAGCAGUCGUUGGCUCGGACAGCAAGCACACAUUCGCCACAUUAACUCCCGCGCACAUUAGCGUGUCCGACCCCUACAUACGUCAGCAUACUGGGUACACUUCGAGGCAGGCAUAGGUCGGCAAAUAGGGCGAAGAACACACCUGGUCAGAUGAUUUGCACGACGGUCGAGGAGAAGAUCUCUGUCUGUCAUUGCACUUACUGCUCCAUGUUGCACAUAUUUAAUACUAGAUCGCUGGGGCCACCUGUCGGGGCUCAGCACCUAUGUGCUCCCCCUUGGACUAUAAAAGGGAGGACACAUACGUGACAAGCUCUCUUGAGUUCACUCACAGCUCACAAAAGCUCAGACUCAUGCUCAACAAUACAACUCACAGUGGACAUAGGGUAUUACGAUCCGGCGGCUCGAACCAUUCUAACUCCUUGUGUUCUUGACAUCUCCACAGGUAAAACCUAGGCAGCCCCCUCGUUCUUAGAAUUAGGCGGGUGCAUUCCGUCAUCCGACUGGAGUUUACCUCUAACUUUGUGAAUGAUUGGUUCGGUUUUGGGUCUUCCAAUGCAUUUGUUAUGAAUUUCUGCUGUUGAUGUGUAAUAAAAUAAGCAUCUACUUCUUGUUGUUUAAAAAAAUCAUAUACUUGUAGAUACUUGUAGCUUAAGAGUUAAGAAGCUUGGCAAUUGGCAUUCCAUCUAUCCAGAAUGAACCUGGACCUGUUAAACAUUUCAUUUAGCCUCAAUGACUUGUUUUCAUCUCACAUGUUUGACUAGUUUCUGUGUAAAAUUAAAUGGCUGUACAGAAUAACAAGAACAGAUUUCUGUGCAAUAUAUGUGUUGACGCCUUUUCGGAGCGCCAAACACUCAACAAGA